CUAAAUAAAUUCAUACGUACUAUAAUACAAAUAACUGGGAUAUGAAAUUUACUUUACAGUGACUCGUGGGCCCACAAGGAACAAAAGUGCACAAAGGUAGUAAACCUACAGUUUUUGGAGUAGUAAAGCCGACUAUAAUCCUUGACGAUAUCUACUAUCCACAGGCUACCUCGGGCCUGAAAUGAUUGAAAAUGAGGGUGGUGAGAUUAUAAAAUCUCAGUGAGUAAAUAGGUACCAUCUAAACCAUCUAAAGUCGAGUAAAUGGAGACAGAUAAAACAGUUUAACAUACUAAAAUUCAUCACCUUUCAACUUGUUUCAACCAAAUAAAAUUAAUUCAUAUAAAUCGAGUAAUUAACAUGACUUAUGAAUUUCUUAAAAGCUUUGGCUCGUGUCAAAAUCAUUAUCAUACUCAGUCAUCAGGGAUACCUUGGCUGAGGGCUAUCCCAAACCGAGUCCUCCAAGGUUGUUAAAAAGUUAUGUACGCAUAAAUCAUGUAUUUAUUUUGAAAACAUAGCCGUUCCUUGGCGUUGGCGAAGUUCCCCUCACAUGGUGGUUGGGCGUGAAGUGAACUCUAAAGUUUGACCUCGGGAGUUAUCCUACAUGCCUCUCUAAUCGAGGUACAUAUAUAUGACCAGGUUUUGUGCCCCUCUAAUAGGUUGGUCCAUAGAACCAGCCCACUACAGCAAGCUAAACCCACCAUACAAUAAAAUUUGCAAUAGCAUGACAUGGCAAUUAUUUUAUUUUACACCCUCUCAAGGCAAAUUAACAGUUCAUACAUUUUCAACACAAAUACUAAUUCAGCCAUUCAUGCAAAUAUUAUCAUAAUCCAUUCAAUUCAAACCAUGAUUUAUAACACAGCAAUUAGUCUCCAAUUACUCCAUUUUCAAAACCAUCUUUCAAUUUCAAGACAAUAUAUAAAAUCAUUUCAUUUAAACACAUUCUGUUUAUAAAACCUAAAAAUUUACCAUUUAAACUCAUUUUCCAUAAAAUCACAAAAUCGGAUAAAAACCACUUUAGAUAAUUAAGACGAUAGUAAGGUUACUCACAGUACUGGGAGUUUGAUAUACUCCUAUUCCCGAUCUUCGGGCACAAUCUCUUUACCCUUGUUAGAG
rnacentral:lncRNA from 1 species